CACACACACACGACGUGCAAGCGCAGAUUUCUCGUUAAAACACAGACGUGUAAGCAGAUGUUGAAAGUGCGCCACAAAAAUGCACUGCAUUUAAACGUCGCACUGCAAGGUAAAUACCCAAGGUCUCCUAAAAUUUUGAUGUCGUGAAAUGUAUAGAUUUUAUUCGGGCUUCAUUCAUAUUACAACUGCGAACAGCAAGGUGCCAAACGAACAGGUUUAAAACAUUGGUCAGUUUAUACAGAUUGAAAUUCAAAUUUUUCAUUUGUUUUGACUGUUGAAGUGAAGCCCUGUCUUUGUUGGAUGUUCAAAUGUUCAUACUUUUACUAAACCUAACUUAUACAGCUCUGCGCGAUUAAGGUAAAAGUAAACAAAACCUCAAAGUGGAUUUAAUGUCCCCAUUUUUCUGAUUUUAAGUUCCAAAUGAAGUUCGGUGGACGCAUCCAACUUGAUGACAAAGGCAAAAGAAAGAAAAAAAAUGAUACGUGGGUUGGAGCACGAAACUAUUUAUCGGUUAGGUAUAUAGACCCAAUCCACCACGUAGUGUAAAGUCAAGUGCGACACAGAGAGAAUGGAACUUUGGAAAGUUUGUGGACGUUUUUGAGCCCGCGUUGAGCGAGAACUAUAUAUACGGCUGUAAAGUAAGUGAGCUGCUGCUGCGUAGGCGAUCCUUUUAUUUUCUCACAAGACGGAAACCGACGUGAUAAAAAAACCAACGGAGAGUUAGCUGCUGGCUAAGUCCACGACGACACAGCUGGAAAGGGAAGUUUUCGCAGCCGAAAUGGAGGAAUAAUCGAAUGUUACCAACGGCGAUAUACGACCUCGUCUAGAAAAAGGGGAUUGCUACUCUAGAAGCUUUUUCUUUGGUGAAUAAAGGCUUCAUUUUAUAUUUUUUAUUUAAAGGGGUUGUACGGAGAAACGCCUCUGGUUAUUCAACUUUAUUCGUAUGGCCACUUUUGGUUGAACUACUUGACUCGAUUUGCACUUGAAGUCAGAGUUGUUUUGCACGUUGUUUCUCUCUAGUUGUGAAAAGGUGUUGGUGGAAAAAAAUCUUGAUAAAAAAUAAAAAGGAAUAACGAGGAACAGCGACUAACGAAUUGGUUAGCUGUGAUUGCACCGAGUGUUCGACAGGAAGAUGUAAUAGAAGUUGGGAAGCAACUAAGGAAGUAAAGGAAGUAGAGGGCGCAAAAAGAACAAGAGGAUUUAUAGCCUUGGUGUUAAUACUUUCUUGAUUAGGCAUCAUUCACCUUGGCAGGUACAACAAAAAUCGAUUGAUUGGAGGAUUCGCUAAUUCGUCAAGGAGGACAAUGUCCGACUCGUCAAUUAGGUGAGUUCAGGAUGAGCACGAAAAAGGAUGUGCUACGGUUGAUCACCAUGCCAAAAUGAGAUAAUGCCACUACGUGUACCUUCCCAGCAUUAACACGUGCUGUACUACAACGUCAAAGAUUUUCAUGGCCACAUAAUGAACUCUCAGCUGAUGAUGAGUAGAUUGAGGACCGAUGCGUUGGAAGCGAGGUAAUCCAACGAUAGCCAAGUAUCGCAAACAUAAGGUCCCAGCUGCCACCGGCCGGCUAAUAUAUAGACGGUGAACAAAGGCAUAGAAAUGAGUCCGAUGGCGAAGUCGGCCACAGCCAAACUGAACAGAAAGUAAUUGGAGAUGGUCUGCAGUUGUUUGUCGAUCUUGAACGAGAUCAUCACCAUGCAAUUGCCGGCCACGGUGAGGAAACUGAGGAAGCCGGCAACGAUGGCGAUCAGCACCAUCUCCGGAUAGGAAUAAGGGAGAACGAAGUCGUCCUCUGCCAUUGUGGCCGUCGUGUUGUUUGCACUACUAGACGUCCAUGGCUGCUGGCUGAACAGGACGGACGAAGAUCCUUCGUCCGUGAAAUCAUCGAAGCCGAGGGCAGUGCUACUGGCCAACAUCCUCUGGGAGCCCAUCGGCAAUGACUCGCUUAUAUUGGCCGUCACGUACUGCAGGCUGGCUACUGCAGCUGUAGAGGCCGCUCGUAACAUCGAAGAGCCUGCCUUAUUUCCACCCGACGAGCCCAACGAGCCCCACAAGGGUGUCGUAUGAUUGAAUGCCGACAAACUCAUCUCACCUUCCGUUUUUUUUUUUUUUUCGAAACUUCCUUGUUACACAAACGUCUCACCAACACAGAAACGAAGGUAGACGCCCCAAAAUCACGGAGCAAACGAAGAACGAGUGGUCCAGUCUAACUAGAGGAGCCAUAUCAGCAGCAGCUAGAGUAGCAUCACGCCGAGAGGUAAGUUGCAGAAGCGCACCACUCAUCUCUGCCUACUCGAGAGCAAAAAGUGGCUGGACCGAUCCAACAGUCACGCAACGACGAUUGAUGAUGAGGUCUACUUUGCCAUCGUCUUCGAUGCACAAACAACUCUUUUGUUUCCUUCCCCCAAUCUUUUUUCGCGUGCAAUUUCGAAUGUUAUCAAAACGAAAUAUAUUUUUGUUUGAAUGCC